GACGAACGCUGGCGGCGUGCCUAAUACAUGCAAGUCGAACGCAGUGGGGACGGGUGAGUAACACGUGGGUAACCUCCCAUCAGAGGGGAUAACACUUGGCAACAGGUGCUAAACCGAUACUGAUGGAUGGACUCGCGUGGCAUUAGCUAGUCGGUGGGGUAACUGCUCACCAAGGCCACGAUGCAUAGCCGACCUGAGAGGGUGACCGGCCACACUGGGACUGAGCCACGGCCCAGACUCCUACGGGAGGCAGCAGUAGGGAAUCUUCGGCAAUGGACGAAAGUCUGACAGAGCAACGCCGCGUGAGUGAAGAAGGUUUUCGGAUCGUAAAACUCUGUUGUUAGAGAAGCGGUAUCUAACCAGAAAGCCACGGCUAACUACGUGCCAGCAGCCGCGGUAAUUC
rnacentral:rRNA from 1 species